GAUGAACGCUGGCGGCGUGCCUAAUACAUGCAAGUCGAGCGAACGGACGAGAAGCUUGCUUCUCUGAUGUUAGCGGCGGACGGGUGAGUAACACGUGGAUAACCUACCUAUAAGACUGGGAUAACUUCGGGAAACCGGAGCUAAUACCGGAUAAUAUUUUGAACCGCAUGGUUCAAAAGUGAAAGACGGUCUUGCUGUCACUUAUAGAUGGAUCCGCGCUGCAUUAGCUAGUUGGUAAGGUAACGGCUUACCAAGGCAACGAUGCAUAGACGACCUGAGAGGGUGAUCGGCCACACUGGAACUGAGACACGGUCCAGACCCCUACGGGAGGCAGCCGUAGGGAAUCUUCCGCAAUGGGCGAAAGCCUGACGGAGCAACGCCGCGUGGGUGAUGAAGGUCUUCGGAUCUUAAAACUCUGUUAUUAGGGAAGAACAUAUGUGUAAGUAACUGUGCACAUCUUGACGGUACCUAAUCAGAAAGCCACGGCUAACUACGUG
rnacentral:rRNA from 1 species